GCAGGUACUGCAGGAUGAGCAGUAGGGAAAUGAGAGUGGGUGUGAGGAAACUAAUGCCAUACAAUCCUUGAAAUUUCCCAGUGCUUUAUGAAAUUCAAAGCAAUAUAAAUAUUAAAAUAGCAUUAGUCCCACUUAUAGGGAAUAAAUAGUGGUACAUUUCAAUAUAAUAUUUUCCCGUCAUGUCAUUUGCUGUGGAAUAUGUUGCUAAUUAAAGAUUACAAGAGAGAGCUCCCUUGAGGUAUGCAUGGGUUUGCUCUCUGUUUAAAAAAGAUUUGCUUUGAAUGUCCAUUGACCUUUCCACAUUUAAAUGUCUUCUGAAUUUUCCUGUGCUUGCUGGGGCCAUGACUAGGUGAUUUUCAGUCUCAUGUUCUGGUACAUAAGUAUUGUAGUUUUGAGCUUUGAUGGUCCUAUAAUCCUUUAAUUGUUUAUAGGGAGAACCAGUUGUCUCUUUCAAGCAACUGUGCCUUAUGCAAGAGAAACAGAACCACAACAGCUGAGUUGUUCACAAAGACAAGGUCACAAUUUCUUCAUUUGGAAAACAUCAAUAUUAAAUUGGUGCACGUACUGUUACUAGUUAAUUCUUCAAGAAACAUGUAAGUAUUUUUCUAUCUUCCAAGCUACAUUGUAGGUCUGUAGAAACCUCUUGUAAGUUGUCAGGACUCUUCUAGGUCAACAGUUUGCUAAGAGUUAAUCAAAACUUAGUUAAGAGGUUUUAUUUCCUUGUUCAUCUGAAGAUGAUAAUGGGAAGAACUUUGGUCCAUUAUAUUUUUCUUCUUAGUAUUUUUAUAUUCUAUAGAAUAGAAUACAUUGCCAGUUUUCCCCUGUAAUUUCCAUUAUGGCUAGGAGCUAUUAUGGAUAGGGUUGUUGGUUUUGGAUUAUCCUGGAAAUUAUAGAUGAAGAAUGGUCAUUAACUGGUGAGAGUGAUAUUGUAUCACUAUUUUGCUUAUAUUAGUGCAACAAUUUUUACAAUAUUGUGUGGAAAUUAGCAAAAAAUACUACUUAAUUAAAAUAUUUCUACAUUUUCAGCCAGAAG
rnacentral:lncRNA from 1 species